GCCCAUAUGGCUCAGGGGUAGAGCACUUCCUUGGUAAGGAAGAGGUCGUGGGUUCAAGUCCCACUAUGGGCUCCA
rnacentral:tRNA from 1 species